ACACUGAAGGGAGGUGAUCCUGAGUUGAGUACCGUCAGGAUGCGUGAGGUGGCUGCUCGCUAGAGCCGCCCCUGCCUGCGCAGGGUGAGGCCCCAGGCCUCCGGCAGGCGAAAUCCACAGCAGUCACCCGGCCCGCGGGCUCACCGGUACAUCCCCGGUGCCUCGGCGCCUGGCCAGUGCACGGGCCGGCGUAGAGGAGCAGCCCGCGGGUCGUCUGCG
rnacentral:sRNA from 1 species